GGGGAUUUAGCUCAGUGGCCUAAGCACCUGCCUGGCAAGCUGGAGGUUGUGAGUUCAAUCUCCC
rnacentral:tRNA from 1 species